UCAACGUGUUACCCCGGGAGGUCACUCUCCCCUGACUCUGUCCUAGUGGUGUAGGGGAGCAUAGGGCCCUGCCCCUUGAUGUACAGUCCCAUUCCACAAUGUUGGAGAUGAAGCUGGCCUUCGAGUCUGCUCCUGCGUAUUCCUAUGGCUUUUCAGAGUCCUCUGGAUGAUGACUGAGGAGAUAAACCGUGCAGGAAAUGUCU
ensembl:snoRNA SNORA73 Small nucleolar RNA SNORA73 family